rnacentral:tRNA from 1 species
GGCCUUAUAUUCAAUUAUGAUAUUAAAUUGCAAAUUUAAUGGAAAGAUCUAUUCUUUAAGGCUU